rnacentral:rRNA from 1 species
GGUGGCAACGCUGUCAAUUGCGGGGACCCGUAAAGACCUUGACACCAAGCGUCUGCUNGAAACAGCGGCGUGACCGAGCUAAUAGCCCUGGGUAUGGUAAUAGUUCAAGGUAUGAGCCUGAGUGAUCGGGCGAAAUGGGCGAUCUGCAGCCAAGUCCUAAGGUCUCUGUAGGCUAUGGAUGCUGUUCACAGGCCAAAUGGCAGUGGGUGGGAGUAUCAUCUCCUGCUUAAGAUAUGGUCGGUCCCCUUGUGAAAGCUUGGGGGUAAGUUUACCGGAUAAAUUGCUUUUGUGGUUCUCAGAAAUUCCGAGUACUUUUUACGUUCCGUAGGUGAACCUGCGGAAGGAU